rnacentral:lncRNA from 1 species
UUUGGUGGGUUUUGAGUGAAAUCCAAUCUCUACAACUAUGCAAUAAACCAACCACUCCAUUUCAUAACGAACUUCGCACGAACCUGAAUUCUCCAAUUUCAUGGACCAAUCGAUAUCUGAUUGAGUCCAAAACUUUGGGAGCAACAUAAUAUGAUGGGAGGAGACAUUUGGUGACUUUUGAGUGAAAUCCAAUGGCUAAAACUAUGUAAUACACUAACC